AGAACUGCACCUUUCCUCCUGACGAAGAAGUAUUGUUGAUGAUGCGCAGAUACCUCAACGUUACGCGUCUCGAACCAGUCGCCUCUCCGUUACCCUUCGCUCCUGACGACAAGUUCCCAAAGGCUGGGACACUGACUGGACUCCUCACGCGUGGUGAAUCGGAUAUCAUGCUUCACCAAGUCACCAUGAACGAACUCCGUGCUUUCAGCACGCAGUUCUCAUUCCCUAUGAAAUACUACAACAUCGCCUACCUAUUCCCGUCGCCAGCAGUCCUAACAGGCAGUUUCA